UUGUGCCGUUGCUAAUAGGCCCCAAAACACCCAAAAUUCCCAAAUUUCUCAAACGCUUGAAGCCCUGAUAUUUUCAUCUCCAUCUCCAUCUCCAUCUCCAUCUUUCAUCUACGAGUUCACUCCCGCUGCAUCAGUUUGUUGAUCCACCUUCACCAAGCUGACAUCGCCGCCCACUUUCUCUCGAUCUCGCCCUCGAUCUCGGUCAGUACAUGGAUAUCACCUUACACAGCCCCAACAACACCAACGUAGGUAGAAUUCUAGGUAACCCUCCUCUCCUCUCCUCUCCUCUCCUUUGCUUUCCCCUCACACUCACUCGCACAGACCCUCACAAUCUCUCACUCUCGCUCUCGCUCUCGCUCUUGCGUUACCCUUACAGACUGUUUGUAGCAGCAGCAGCGGCGACGACUUCCCUCGGAUUCUUCCUCUGGCAUCCAGGUUAGAUGCCAAAUUCACCCCUCAUGAAGAUUGCCUCACAAGAUAUGCAUUGUUGGGGCGUCUUCAGCAAGCUCGGUGGAAGAGGAUGCUUCUCAAACAAGCUGCCCUUCACCUCUUGCCACCUGACCUGCUGCAACUUUCUCUUGAGUCUUCCUUCACAAGUUCUUCUAUUUUAUAAUAGGUGUAAUUGUUGCCUUGAUGCAAAUUGUUGUCAAUCUUGUUCAAGAAACACACGAAAUGGGUGUAUGAAGGGGUGAUUGAUGAUCAUUAUGGUGAACUUUGGCGCAAAUCAUCAUUAUCUUGAGUGUAUAAAAGCUGCGCUUAAUGUGCAUCAUAGACCAAUUAAUAUGACUGUAAGAGGAGUGAUUGGAUCAAUGUGAAGAUGAUAAAAGAAAUAGAAGGCGAAGGAGAACAUGCGCUUAGGUUCAAUGGCCAUUGUCCCUUGUUAUAUCAAGAAAAGCCUUAACAAAAUACCAGCUGAUAUUCCGCUUCCUGUUUCAUUAUGAGCAUGUGGAUCUCCAACUUUGUGGGGCAUGGAAAAUACAUAAAGGUGUGCGUGCUGUUAACACAAAAGGAACUGCAAUCUCUCGGUCAUGUUUGUUGUGUCGAAGUAUGCUUAAGUUUAUUAAUAGCCUUCUACACUAUCUAACAUUUGAGGCCUGUUUUACCCUUCCUCUUCUCCUCGUUUUUAUUUUUUAAAUAUAUUUUGUUUCUAGCAAGAAUGAAGCAAUUAUGAAUUGCUGUGCCUGAAACAAAUAGAUUCAAUGUCUCUUAUCCACUUCUAAUUUGUAUUAAGUUGGCCGGAGUGUCCAGGGUGAAAGUCUCGAAAUCUUGUGUAUACAUGGGUGUCGAUCCCGCGGAUAAAAUUUUCGUAAAAUGGUAGAUUGAAGUGUUUGUGUGGUAGUGUAUUGAAUUGGAAAACUACUGAGUUGUAGUCUCAGUUGGGUUAUUGAUAGAUAAUGAAAUUGACUCAUGAAUUGAGAAUAAUAAAUGAACUUGGAAUGAAUUGAAGGAAAAUGAAUUGAAAUAUGAACCUUGGUGCUUUAUGGUUAUAUAAAAUGUGGAUAUUUUGUCACCAGCAUUGUAUAUGCACAUUACA